UAACAGGCAAUGAUCAAAACGAAGUAGUUAUUAAAGCCAAUGUUUCAGAAAGCUAGUGGUUGCUGAGAACUAGUACAUGCUUUAAAGCGAAUUACAUUUUAGGAGCCUAUGGCAGUGAUGCCACGCGACAGCGUUAAAUGUUCGAGUGAUAUGUUUUACUACAAAACAUAUAAAAUGGGUGGUACCGCGAAAUUUCGUCCCUUGG
rnacentral:ncRNA from 1 species